UACGUAGGGUGCAAGCGUUAAUCGGAAUUAUUGGGCGUAAAGGGUGCGCAGGCGGUGCUGUAAGUCAGAUGUGAAAUCCCCGGGCUUAACCUGGGAAUUGCGUUUGAAACUGCAGCGCUAGAGUGUGAUAGAGGAGAGUGGAAUUCCAUGUGUAGCAGUGAAAUGCGUAGAGAUGUGGAAGAACACCAAUGGCGAAGGCAGCUCUCUGGAUUAACACUGACGCUCAUGCACGAAAGCGUGGGGAGCAAACAGGAUUAGAUACCCUGGUAGUCCACGCCCUAAACUAUGUCAACUAGUUGUCGGAUCUGUUUAAGGAUUUGGUAACGAAGCUAACGCAUGAAGUUGACCGCCUGGGAAGUACGGUCGCAAGAUUAAAACUUAAAUGAAUUGACGG
rnacentral:rRNA from 1 species